UUUCCCGGUUCCGUAGAAUGAACAUCCUAGAGAGGAUGAUCCCUAAGAUGCUGUGAUUCCCCCCCAUGACCAGGUGGCGCCCAGUUGGAGGCCCUGAUCCCCGCUCUCCGCUUGGCUGACUCCGGCUCCUUCUGCUCAUCCCAGUUCAGAGCUUCCCUCCCCUUAGCGGUCGAGAUGCGCCCUCAUCAGAAGCUCUCGGGACACCAGGACUGACACAUUGAGAGUUUCGAUUAUUUGCUUCCAUGGACCUACUUUUCACUGUUUGGGGGACAACUGCUCAAUAAUUUCAGAAGAUUAUUUUAGACUCCAAAGUGCAUGCAGGCAUUUGUCCGUUGUGUCCACAGUGAAGAUAACCAAAACUAGUUAAACCAUUUCAUGGAGGAGGCUCCUUUCUUAGAA
rnacentral:lncRNA from 1 species